rnacentral:rRNA from 1 species
AUUGAACGCUGGCGGCAUGCCUUACACAUGCAAGUCGAACGGCAGCACGGGUGCUUGCACCUGGUGGCGAGUGGCGAACGGGUGAGUAAUACAUCGGAACAUGUCCUGUAGUGGGGGAUAGCCCGGCGAAAGCCGGAUUAAUACCGCAUACGAACUACGGAUGAAAGCGGGGGCCCUUCGGGCCUCGCGCUAUAGGGUUGGCCGAUGGCUGAUUAGCUAGUUGGUGGGGUAAAGGCCUACCAAGGCGACGAUCAGUAGCUGGUCUGAGAGGACGACCAGCCACACUGGGACUGAGACACGGCCCAGACUCCUACGGGAGGCAGCAGUGGGGAAUUUUGGACAAUGGGCGAAAGCCUGAUCCAGCAAUGCCGCGUGUGUGAAGAAGGCCUUCGGGUUGUAAAGCACUUUUGUCCGGAAAGAAAUCCUUGGCCCUAAUACGGUCGGGGGAUGACGGUACCGGAAGAAUAAGCACCGGCUAACUACGUG